rnacentral:rRNA from 1 species
UNACUNAAANUUAUUGACGGGGCCNAANGCCUGACGCAGCCUGCCGCGUGCGGGAUGACGGCCUAUGGGUUGUAAACCUCUUUUUUCAGGGAGGAAUAAAUGACGUGUACCUGAAGAAUAAGCAUCNGGUACCUCCGUGCCAGCCGCCGCGUAACGACGGGNNAUGCAANGGUUAUCCGCAAUCACUGNGCGCGAAGNGCCUGUNGGCNGUUCAAUAAGCCAACUGAUAAAUCUUGAGGCUCAACCUGGAAAACGCAGUCGCUACUAUUAGACUACUGCAUAUGAGGCGUGAAAGGUAAUUUCCAGUGGAGCGGUGAAAUGCGUACAUAUUGGAAAGAACACCGCUGGCGAUGGCACUUUACUGCGCUAUUACUAACACUGCGAGACGAACGCUACGUGACAGCUAAAUGCGCAUUAGNUACCCCAGUAGACCUAGCUGUAUACAAUGGAUACUACACUGUUGUAACACGAUCGACCUGGGCAGUAUCAAAGCUAACGCGUUAAGUAUCCCGCCUAGGGAAGUAUGCUUGGCNGANUGGAAACUCNAANGNGUUUGGGCGNGAAACUUCAAAUGAUUUGACGGC